CAAUCUGCCUUGGAGUGGGGAAUAACGGCUGGAAACAGCCGCUAAUACCGCAUGAUACAGCUGGGAGGCAUCUCCCUGGCUGUCAAAGAUUUAUCGCUCUGAGAUGAGCUCGCGUCUGAUUAGCUAGUUGGCGGGGUAACGCCCACCAAGGCGACGAUCAGUAGCCGGACUGAGAGGUUGGCCGGCCACAUUGGGACUGAGACACGGCCCAGACUCCUACGGAAGGCAGCAG
rnacentral:rRNA from 1 species